CUUGCAAAUACGAAGGCUCCUCAAAACGGACGCUUUUGCGCCCUCCUUUCAUUGCCUUGUGUGUUUUGCUGUGGCUACUUUCGCUGCUUUUCUCGACUCAAGACCGGUGUGGGCCACUACCUUCUUCUCACGCAUAGGAGAAACAAAACGCUCCCAACACGUUCUCUUCACUGUACCUCCUUCCCCACUCCUCACUUCUCCUCCACCUCUUUCGCACACACGCACAAACACUCGCACACUCCGGCAUCGAUUUUAUGCACGCGUGUUUUGCAUAGUAGAUCAUACCUUCCCUCCCCCCCCCAAAAAAAAAAAUAGAACGUAGCGGGAAAAGGGCGAAGGCGAUGGGCAACGUUACGGUUAUCAAGGGUAACAUCGUGACGACCUCAAAGGUGCUCUACGGUGGCUGUGUAAUCGUCGUAAAUGAUCUAAUUGUGUCUGUGUGUGACAAUGAGGCUGUUGCCCGAAAAGAGCUCGGCGAGCUCGAGAAUACGCAUCCAGGCGUAGGCGCGGCCACCUGGUACGAGGCCGCGUUUGUGCUCCCUGGGUUCGUAGAUAUUCACAACCACGGACUGGGCGGUGCAAGCGAUGUGAUUGGGCACUGGUCGAACCCAGAGUACUCCCUGAAGGAGCUGGCUCGGUGCGGCACGCUCACAACCUUGGCGUCCAUCAUCUUCUCCGACAGCCACAAGAAACUGGUGACGGACUGUAUUGAUGCCAUCGAGAAGCGCGUGGGGACCUAUACGAAGGACAACUGUAUUCUGGGCGGUAUCCAUGCCGAGGGCCCCGUCAUUCACGACCGCGGCGGCCUGCCGGAAUGCAAGAGUGAAAUGAGCCUCGGCGACUUCAAGCGGCUCGUCGACUCUAUGCCGUCCUUGCGCGUCAUGACCAUCUCGCCACACAUCGAGGCACGGUGUAACUACGAGAAGAUACGCCACCUCCUCGAGAAGAAGGUGCGCGUUGCCCUCGGCCACGACCGCGCCGCCUCCAAGUCGGAGAUUAUGGGCGCCCUCAAGCUGGCAACCUCGGAGGAGGAGAAGAUGCAUGUUACCCACUUGUGCAACGUCUCCACGUUCAAUCACCGUGCCAGCUCACUGGUGAACACGGCCAUGUGCCCGCGGUUCCCGAACGCGCCGCUCUACAAAGGUGCGCGCCCGCCAACGCUGGAGAUCAUUGCUGAUCUCAUUCAUGUUGAUAGCGUCACACUUCAGUCUGUCCUGGCGUCACGCAGCGUUGAGGACAUUGCCAUCAUCACAGACUGUAUCUCGGCACACAUCCCUGGCAAGCACGUGGUGUACAACGGGCGUGACAGCGUUGUGCAGGCGGGUGGGGCGUGCUAUCUCUGCGACUCGUUUGGCCGCGCGUCCAACACCCUGGCGGGCGGCACUAGCAUGCUAGCCGACCUGUUCCAUAUCCUUAUCACACUCUUCUGCAAGGAUGUCGUCGAGGCCUGCUUGCACACCGCCACCGUGCCCGCCCGAAUCGCGAACCUGCCCGACGUGGGCGCAAUCGCUGUGAGAAAGAAGGCCAAUCUGCUUCUUUUUGACGCGGAGCUCAACACAAUCGAGAAGCGCAUGAUUCACGGACACUGGACCUCGCACAAACCGUACACGAUCCUUCACCCCUCUGUAACCCAUCUGUGAGCAAAGCCAC
rnacentral:misc_RNA from 1 species